rnacentral:rRNA from 1 species
UACGUAGGGCGCAAGCGUUGUCCGGAAUUAUUGGGCGUAAAGAGCUCGUAGGCGGCUUGUCACGUCGAUUGUGAAAGCCCGAGGCUUAACCUCGGGUCUGCAGUCGAUACGGGCUAGCUAGAGUGUGGUAGGGGAGAUCGGAAUUCCUGGUGUAGCGGUGAAAUGCGCAGAUAUCAGGAGGAACACCAGUGGCGAAGGCGGUUCUCUGGGCAUUACCUGACGCUGAGGAGCGAAAGUGUGGGGAGCGAACAGG